rnacentral:rRNA from 1 species
AUUGAACGCUGGCGGCAUGCCUUACACAUGCAAGUCGAACGGCAGCGGGGGAGAAGCUUGCUUUUCCUGCCGGCGAGUGGCGAACGGGUGAGUAAUACAUCGGAACGUGCCCUGUAGUGGGGGAUAACUAGUCGAAAGAUUAGCUAAUACCCCAUACGACCUGAGGGUGAAAGUGGGGGACCGCAAGGCCGCAUGCUAUAGGAGCGGCCGAUGUCUGAUUAGCUAGUUGGUGGGGUAAAGGCCUACCAAGGCGACGAUCAGUAGCAGGUCUGAGAGGACGAUAAGCCACACUGGGACUGAGACACGGCCCAGACUCCUACGGGAGGCAGCAGUGGGGAAUUUUGGACAAUGGGCGAAAGCCUGAUCCAGCAAUGCCGCGUGUGUGAAGAAGGCCUUCGGGUUGUAAAGCACUUUUGUCCGGAAAGAAAUGGCUCUGGUUAAUACCUGGGGUCGAUGACGGUACCGGAAGAAUAAGGACCGGCUAACUACGUGCCAGCCGCCGCCGUAA